UACGAAGGGGGCUAGCGUUGCUCGGAAUCACUGGGCGUAAAGCGCACGUAGGCGGAUUGCUAAGUCAGGGGUGAAAUCCUGGAGCUCAACUCCAGAACUGCCUUUGAUACUGGCAACCUUGAGUCCGGGAGAGGUGAGUGGAACUGCGAGUGUAGAGGUGAAAUUCGUAGAUAUUCGCAAGAACACCAGUGGCGAAGGCGGCUCACUGGCCCGAUACUGACGCUGAGACGCGAAAGCGUGGGGAGCAAACAGG
rnacentral:rRNA from 1 species